AGACGUCUACAUUAGAUACCCGUGUAGUCCCAGCCGUAAACUAUGCGCGUUAGGUGUAUCGGUGACCACGAGUCACCGGGGUGCCGAAGGGAAACCGUGAAACGUGCCGCCUGGGAAGUACGGUCGCAAGGCUGAAACUUAAAGGAAUUGGCGGGGAGCACCACAACGGGUGGAGCCUGCGGUUUAAUUGGACUCAACGCCGGGAAGCUCACCGGAUAAGACAGCGGAAUGAUUGCCGGGCUGAAGACUCUGCAUGACUAGCUG
rnacentral:rRNA from 1 species